UUGGGCCUACGGGAGGCAGCAGUGGGGAAUAUUGCACAAUGGGGGAAACCCUGAUGCAGCGACGCCGCGUGAGUGAAGAAGUAUUUCGGUACGUAAAGCUCUAUCAGCAGGGAAGAAAAUGACGGUACCUGACUAAGAAGCCCCGGCUAACUACGUGCCAGCAGCCGCGGUAAUACGUAGGGGGCAAGCGUUAUCCGGAUUUACUGGGUGUAAAGGGAGCGUAGACGGCAUAGCAAGUCUGAUGUGAAAGAUCGGGGCUCAACCCCGGGCCUGCAUUGGAAACUGUUAAGCUGGAGUACAGGAGG
rnacentral:rRNA from 1 species